rnacentral:lncRNA from 1 species
GACUACAGAAACAAUGGCAAUUAUACAUGAAUACGAUUCACAGUGUUGUUCUUUGCAGCCUCGGUUGAACAGACGCCUUUUCACAGGUGUCGGGGACCAUAAUUAGGGGUACCCUCAAGGCUCCUAAUUCUCAGCUGGUAACCCCCAUCAGCAUAAAGCUGCAAAGGCCUGAUGGGUGCGAUUAAGUCAGGGAUCAGUCCAUCCGAGGGACUCGAUCAUGCCUCGCCCGAGCCUAGCCUCGGACAAGGGCAGCCGACCCCGAAGGACCUCCAUCUCGCCCGAGGCCCCCCUUCAGCGGUGAACAUAUUUCCGGCUCGCCCGAGGCCCUGUCUUCGCCAAGAAGCAACCCUGACCAAAUCGCCGCACCGACCGACCAAAUCGCAGGAGCAUUUAAUGCAAAGGCGACCUGACACCUUUAUCCUGACGCGCGCCCCUCAGCCGAUAGAGCCGAAGUGACCGCCGUCACUUCGCCGCUCCACUGACCGGUCUGACAGAAAGACAGCGCCGCCUGCGCCGCUCCGACUGCGGUGCCACUUGACAGAGUGAGGCUGACAGGCAGUCAGGCCCGGCUGCAGGCACCAUAGGAAGCUCCGCUCCACCCGACCCAAGGCUCGGACUCGGGCUAAGUCCCAGAAGACGGCGAACUCCGCUCCGCCCGACCCAGGGCUCGGACUCAGGCUAAGCCCCGGAAGACGGCGAACUCCGCUCCGCCCGACCCAGGGCUCGGACUCGGGCUAAGCCCCGGAAGACGGCGAACUCCGCUUCGCCCGACCCAAGGCUCGGACUUGGGCUAAGCCCCGGAAGACGGUGAACUCCGCUCCGCCCGACCCAGGGCUCGGACUCGGGCUAAGCCCCAGAAGACGGCGAACUCCGCUCCGCCCGACCCAGGGCUCGGACUCGGGCUAAGUCCCGGAAGACGACGAACUCCGCUCCGCCCGACCCCCGGGGCUCGGACUCCGCCCCGGCCUCAGCCGUCGGUCACCGCCUCGCCCGACCCAGGGGCUCGGACUCGACCUCGGCCACGGAAGACAGACUCGACCUCGGCUUCGGAGGAGCUUACACAUCACCCAACCUAGGGCGCAGACCAGCCACGUCAACAGGAGGCGCCAUCAUCACCCUACCCCGCGCUGACUCGGGCCACGGGUAGGGGUGGUAAUGGAUUGUGAUCCAAAUAGUUCUUCACAAAAUAUCAAGGCCCUAAAUAAAUUAUAGCUCAAAAAUGACUAGAAAUAAAGCCCGAUCCUAACCCGCUUCGAUCCUUAAAUCUUAUAGUGCAAAAUUUAUAGCCCAUUGUCAGCCCUAGCCACGGGAUCAAGACCGGCGUCCCAUCUGGCUCGCUCCGCCAAAUAGGCAAUGAUGGCGCCCCGCAUACUCUGUGACGACGGCAGCUCUCAGCGCCCUUACGGAAGCAAGAGGACGUCAACAAAGACUCAACAGCUCCGAUAGCUGUCCCUCCGCCAGGCUCCGGCACUCCUCCGACGGCCACGACAUCACACCAGCUGGGUGCCAAAAUCUCUCCGGCUGCCACAACGGCAUGUACUUAGGGCGCUAGCUCUCCUCCGCUAGACACGUAGCACUCUGCUACACCCCCCAUUGUACACCUGGAUCCUCUCCUUACGCCUAUAAAAGGAAGGACCAGGGCCCUCUUAGAGAAGGUUGGCCGCGCGGGGACGAGGGCGAGACAGGCGCUCGCUUGAAGCCGCUCGCUCCCUCUCCCGCGUGGACGCUUGUAACCCCCUACUGCAAGCGCACCCGACCUGGGCGCGGGACGAACAUGAAGGCCGCGGGAUUCCCACCUCUCUCACGCCGGUCUCCGGCCACCUCACUUCCCCCCUUCGCGCUCGGCCUCGCGUCGACCCAUCUGGGCUGGGGCACGCGGCGACAUUCACUCGUCGGCUUAGGGACCCCCCGGUCUUGAAACGCCGACAGUUGGCGCGCCAGGUAGGGGCCUGCUGCGUGUUGACGAACAGCUUCCCGUCAAGCUCCAGAUGGGCAGUCUCCAGCAACCUCUCCAACCCGGGACGGUGCUCCGUUUCGGGAGUCUUGAGUUCGUGUCCCUCGACGGCAGCUACAACAUGAUACUCCUUCCACCGCCGUGCGACAACGACAAUGGCGGCCGACAGCCCGCCCGCCGGCGGUGGAAUCGACGGCGUCUUCCCCGCGUGGUGGAAGAACAACAUUCGAGCUCACCCCGUCCUCUCCCCCGCCGACGGAGGAGGAGGCGGGGCAACCAAGGCCAAGCAGGAGGCAGCGCCUCGUCGGCUGUCGAGCGAGUCGACGGCGCUAGCACCCCAACGGGGGGCGCACCGGGCAUCGACCUCGCGCUUGAGACGAAGACGAGCGCCGUCUCCCCGCAACACGCCAAUCUCGAGCAAACGGACGGUGCCAGCAUGCUCGCGAAGGGCUUGCUGGACGUCACCCUUGUACCUGAGACGACGGUGCAGUCAGUCCCCGACGUGACCUCAUCGCCGCCCGUCGACCAAGAGGUACCGACCGAUUCCCAUCCCACGUCUUUCGGAUUCAGCCUCGACCCGCCUAGCGGCUUCGCUUUGGCGGGUGCUCUCGUAGAGGCGAGUCCAAACCCUCUGGGGUUUCGUAUGCGGUCACCUUGGGACCGGCUGAUGGACGUCUCGACCUAUGGGCCCUCUGGGUCCGAGGAAGACGACGAGCCCAGCAUCUGUUGGGAUUUCUCUGGACUUGGCAACCCCAGUGCCAUGCGGGACUUCAUGACCGCAUGUGACUACUGCCUUUCCGACUGUUCCGGCGGAAGCUGUAGCCUCGGCGAUGAGGACUGCGGCCCAAGCCGCGAAUGUUUCCACGUCGAUCUAGGGGGCCCCUCCGAAGGCAACCAUCUCGGCAUGCCGGAGGACGGUGAUCUCCCUAGGCUGGUGCCUCGCGUUGAUAUCCCACGGGAGUUAGCUGUGGUCCCCGUUCAGGCGGGGGGUCAUGACCCACAGCUCGAGCAAAUCCGCGGGGUGCAGGCCAGGCUCAACGAGGGAGCAGGAGCGCUUGAGCCAAUCCGCCGGGAUGUCGGGCAGGCAUGGGCGGGCCAACCUCCGGCCGGAGAAAUACGUCAUCUACCCUAGGGCUUCCAGCACCGCAUCGCUGACGACGUCAGGGUCAGGCUGCCACCCGCAUCCAGUGGGGUCGGCCAGAACCUGGCUGUAGCAGCAAUGCUCCUCCGCGCGAUGCCGGAGCCAUCAACCACCGAGGGGCGGCGAAUCCAGGGAGAGCUCAAGAAUCUCCUGGAAGGUGCCGCGGUCCGGCGGGCCGAGAGCUCCGCCUCCCGAAGGCAGGGGUACCCCUCGGAGCAUCAUGCCGCGACUUCCCGAUUCAUGCGGGAAGCCUCGGUCUACACCGGGCGCACGCGCAAGACCGCGCCUGCGGCCCCGGGUCGCCUCGGCAACGAGCACCAUCACCGCGACCGCCGAGCCCACCUCGACGAGAGGGUGCGCCGAGGCCACCACCCUAGGCGUGGGGGACGCUACGACAGCGGGGAGGAUCGGAGUCCCUCGCCCGAACCACCCGGUCCACAGGCCUUCAGCCGGGCCAUACGACGGGCGCCGUUCCUGACCCGGUUCCGACCCUCGACUACUAUCACGAAGUACUCGGGGGAGACGAGACCGGAACUGUGGCUCGCGGACUACCGCCUGGCCUGCCAACUGGGUGGAACGGACGACGACAACCUCAUCAUCCGCAACCUCCCCCUGUUCCUCUCCGACACCGCUCGCGCCUGGUUGGAGCACCUGCCUCCGGGGCAGAUCUCCAACUGGGACGACCUGGUCCAAGCUUUUGCCGGAAAUUUCCAGGGCACAUACGUGCGCCCUGGGAAUUCCUGGGACCUUCGAAGCUGCCGACAGCAGCCGGGAGAGUCUCUCCGAGACUACAUCCGGCGAUUCUCGAAGCAGCGCACCGAGCUGCCCAACAUCACCGACUCGGAUGUCAUCGGCGCGUUCCUCGCCGGCACCACUUGUCGCGACCUGGUGAGCAAGCUGGGUCGCAAGACCCCCACCAGAGCGAGCGAGCUGAUGGACAUCGCCACCAAGUUCGCCUCCUGCCAGGAGGCGAUCGAGGCUAUCUUCCGGAAGGACAAGCAGCCCCAGGGCCGCCCUUCGGAAGAUGCCCCCGAGGCGUCAACUCAGCGCAGCGCCAAGAAGAAGGGCAAGAAGAAGUCGCAAGCGAAACGCGACGCCGCCGACGCAGACCUUGUCGCCGCCGCCGAGUACAAGAACCCUCGGAAACCCCCCGGAGGUGCCAACCUCUUCGACAAGAUGCUCAAGGAGCCGUGCCCCUACCACCAGGGGCCCGUCAAGCACACCCUUGAGGAGUGCGUCAUGCUUCGGCGCCACUUCCACAGGGCCGGGCCACCCGCGGAGGGUGGCAGGGCCCACGACGACGACAAGAAGGAAGAUCACCAGGCAGGAGAGUUCCCCGAGGUCCACGACUGCUUCAUGAUCUAUGGUGGGCAAGCGACGAAUGCCUCGGCUCGGCACCGCAAGCAAGAGCGUCGGGAGGUCUGUUCGGUGAAGGUGGCGGCACCAGUCUACCUAGACUGGUCCGACAAGCCCAUCACCUUCGACCAAGCCGACCAUCCCGACCAUGUGCCGAGCCCGGGGAAAUACCCGCUCGUCGUCGACCCCGUCAUCGGCGACGUCAGGCUCACCAAGGUCCUCAUGGAUGGAGGCAGCAGCCUCAACAUCAUCUACGCCGAGACCCUCGGGCUCCUGCGUGUCGAUCUGUCCUCCGUCGGGGCAGGCGCUGUGCCCUUCCAUGGGAUCAUUCCCGGGAAGCGCGUCCAGCCCCUCGGACGGCUCGACCUUCCCGUCUGCUUCGGAACACCCUCCAACUUCCGAAGGGAGACCCUGACGUUCGAGGUGGUCGGGUUCUGAGGAACCUACCACGCGGUACUGGGAAGACCAUGCUACGCGAAGUUCAUGGCCGUCCCCAACUACACCUACCUAAAGCUCAAGAUGCCGGGCCCCAACGGGGUCAUCACCGUCGGCCCCACGUACAAACACGCGUUCGAAUGUAAUGUGGAGUGCGUGGAGUACGCCGAGGCCCUCGCCGAGUCCGAGGCCCUCAUCGCCGACCUGGAGAGCCUCUCUAAGGAGGUGCCAGACGUGAAGCGUCAUGCCGACAACUUUGAGCCAGCGGAGACGGUUAAGGCCAUCCCCCUCGACCCCAGCAGUGACGCCUCCAAGCAAGUCUGGAUCGGCUCCGAGCUCGAUCCCAAAUAGGAAGCAGUGCUCGUCGACUUUCUCCGCGCGAACGCCGACGUCUUCGCGUGGAGUCCCUCGGACAUGCCCGGCAUACCGAGGGAUGUCGCCGAGCACUCGCUGGACAUCCGAGCUGGAGCCCGACCCGUCAAGCAGCCUCUCCGCCGAUUCGACGAGGAGAAGCGCAGAGCCAUAGGCGAGGAGAUCCACAAGCUAAUGGCGGCAGGGUUCAUCAAAGAGGUAUUCCAUCCCGAAUGGCUUGCCAACCCUGUGCUUGUGAGAAAGAAAGGAGGGAAAUGGCGGAUGUGUGUAGACUACGCUAGGCUCAACAAAGCAUGUCCGAAGGUUCCCUACCCUCUGCCUCGCAUCGACCAAAUCGUGGGUCCCACUGCUGGGUACGAAACCCUGUCUUUCCUCGAUGCCUACUCAGGGUAUCACUAAAUCAGGAUGAAAGAGUCCGACCAGCUCACGACUUCUUUCAUCACACCCUUCGGCAUGAGCUGCUAUGUCACCAUGCCGUUCGGCUUGAGGAACGCGGGCGCGACGUACCAGCGGUGCAUGAACCAUGUGUUCGGCGAACACAUUGGCCGCACGGUCGAGGCCUAUGUCGAUGACAUCGUAGUCAAGACGAGGAAAAGCCUCCGAACUCCUUUCCGACCUUGAAGUGACAUUUCGAUGUCUCAAGGCGAAAGGAGUCAAGCUCAAUCCCGAGAAGCGUGUCUUCGGGGUGCCCCGAGGCAUGCUCCUGGGGUUCAUUUUCUCCAAGCGGGGCAUCGAAGCCAACCCGGAGAAGAUCGCAGCCAUCACGCAGCACCCCGAGCCCUUGUUGGAGACACCCGGGGGCUACACGCACCCCUGGGAAGAGCCGCUUGUCAUCGCCAAAGUUCUGAAGCCCUGGACGAACGAGCUGGCCGACAGUCAAGGCAAGGCCUACACCAACACUUCAAACGUCUAACAGCUACGUCGCUUCUACCCUUAAGAUGCUUUCAAGUUGUCCCCUGACCUUGCCCCCGCGCAAGUUUUAGUCGUCAAGGAAGGGUCAGCCUUGCCUCGGCAGAGCCCGACCCUCCCUCGGGGGCUAAAAAGGGGGAACCCCUCUGCGUCAAAAUUUUCAAUCGAAAAGGCUUUUGUGCUCCCCUGACUAUGUCGGAAGCAGGACCCCAAGGAGCGAACGCGGGUGCAUGUAAGUGGCAAGGCAGACUGAGCCGAGGGACUCCUACGCCUCCGGGUUACGGACACCUCACUCGUCACCCGCCACGAAAAGUGACCCCUACUUGGGGAAGCCACCCUGCUACUGACAGGCUGGGCCGGACACGCAAAAUGAAAGGGAAAGGAGUACAACUUCAUGCAACGGUAACAAAGUGUUCAGGCCUCAGCGGCCGCAGAAAGACACACGUGCAUCCAACAGAAACUGCUCCAACAGAGUUAGGCGUCGCCCCGGGAAGGAGCCGCGCCCUCGGCUUCGCCCCCGCCCUCGGCAAAGUCCAUCCCGGCUUCGGACGACGGCGCAGACAGGAGGAUCUCUGCCUCAAAGGUGGUCGCCAGCACUGCGCUCGGACCCGCGGCGGCCGCAUCGAGCCUCUGGAAUUCUGCCAGGGCGGCUUCAUCUUCGUCAGGAAGGCAAUACCCCUCGCUGACCCGCUCCAGGUCCACGACGUAGUGGGAAGCGAGCACGGCGAAGGCCCGCCUGACACCGUGGUGAAGCGCCUCGCGGAGUCUGCCGCACACAUGAUCGCCCAAGACCUGCAGGCGACUUUGAGGGGAACUUCCUGAGGGGACGUCGCCGGAGCCAAGGACCCGGCAAAAGUCCGAGACGGCCUCGGACAUGGCCGCAUGGUCGGCCUCCCUCUGUUCGGCCGCCCCGGCAAGCGCCUCGGCAACCGCCUUGGCGGACUCAUCAAGGGCGGACUCGAGCUCUGCGAACAACCAGAAGAAAGAUCUCAAACACAAGCGGAGGAAACAAGCAGAAACAAAAACCGAAAAUGGCCAAGGCGUACCUCCGGCUCGGGCACGCUGCUCCGAGGCUGCGACCUGGGCUACGGCUAGGUCGGCGGCAAGGGCUUCAGCCCGGCUUUCGGCCUCGGCAGCCCGACCCCGAGAUUGGUCCCGCUCAUUGACGAUCCGAUCGAACUCCGACUGCUGUCGUUGCGCUUCCGCGUGCGCCGCGGCCGCCUCCGCGCGUGCCGCUACCGCUUCGGCUCUCAGAUCGGUGCAGAGCAACCGAAGGUCCGCCGCCUCGGCACCCUGCUGAGAGAGGCGCGCAGUGGCCCCGGCGAGCGAAGUCCUCAGGGAUCGCAGCGAGCCCCAGACGUCGACCUCGCGGCGGUUGAACGACGACUUGGCGGCGCUCAGAUCCGUCAGAUCCUAAGGGAAGGAAGCGGGGCGUCACGAAAGACGCCUUGGUCACAAAAGAGAAAAGGUAUGCCUGAAACCGUUACCUAGAGGAUUUUGGGGACGUCCCUGCAGAAAACCUCCAACGACGACCAGAGCGACCCCACCGUUGCUUCGGCGCACUCGCGGAGCUCGUCCCAGGACCGGUCCUCCCGUUUAUCGUCGAGAAUGAAGACGGGAUCCGAGGCCUCACGGGUCUAGAAUCGGAGCAACUGGCGCCGACCCUCGGAGCUCUGCCGCACAGCGACAAGGCUGCCGCCCGGCGGGGCAGAUCGCGUCUCCACGCCCCCCUCCUUCGGAGCACCAAGCGUCGACGCCUCGGCCGACUCAGCGUCGGCAGCGACCGGUCGCUCCCCGACUGGGACGACGACGGAUUUAGUGGCGACGGGUGCCAGCACCGCCGGCACGUCCGGUGGGGCCGGGGCCACGUCCGCGUCAGCCGCCUCCUCUAGCACGAUGGCCGCCUCGGCAGAAGAGCCGGCCUCGGGAACUCGCUCCACGGCGACUGGUGCCGCCUGAGCCCCCUGCUGUGGAGCACCUUGCGAAAAGGUCAGCUGAACAGCAAGGCCCGAAGCGGCGCCAGCCGUGCAAGCCGACGCGGUCUUAAGGGCCUUUCGGGGAACCAGGUCGGUCAGGCCAUGGCUUCGCUUGCUGAGGGGAAAAGAAAAAUCACGGCCGGGACAUACGAAUGAAAAGCCAGGACGAAGACGUUCCAAGAUACUUACCCGCUCCUAGCCAUGAUCAACCGUGCCUGGGGGAGGUCUCUCGGAUCUCGACCCCCGAAGGCGCCGCCGAGGUCCGCUUCGUCGGCAGCUUCGGCACCACCCUUGCCUUGGGCGCUCUGAGUGCCCGGGGGACGGAUUGCCCAGGCACUGCCACGUCGACCUGAGGGUCGCUCUCCUGCGCUGCCGGCGUGGGCGACAGCUCUUGGGGAGUAGGCGCCUCGGCCUGGCUCCCCGGGGUCGCCUCAACUCCCCCAGCCGAGGGGUCAGGUACCCUCUCGGAUUGCCCCCGCUCCUCGGGUCGGGACCCCAGUGUCCCGACUCCGGGGACUAACGGCAUCAGCCCGCUCGGGGGCUGGCUUGACGGCUCCUGGCCUAACCUCAAGCUAGGGCUGAGGCCAAGGCGGGCAACCAUGUCGUCUUCCUCGUCAUCAUCUUCAUCAUCGUCGUCGUCAUCAGGCGUUUCCGGCGACGGCUCCCUCGGGAGCCCCUCCCUCUCCUGCCGACGACGAAGCUUUUCCAAGGCGUCUCGAGCCCGCAUCCGCUCGCGGGCCCGGGCCUUCUCCACGUCUUUCUUUUUCUUCUUCUCCUCCGCGGCAACACGCCGCGCUGCUCGGUCCACCGCAUCCUGCGGGACCCGUGGCAGGGAAGGCUUGUGCCACCCCACCUCCUGAAGACGGAGGGAAAUCCCGACCGUAAGAACCAGGAGCAACCCGAUGCAAGAAGAAGGAAGGAGCGGACACUCACCAGAGUCACGCACCCUUGGUCAGGGCGCAUCAAGGGCUAGGAGAAGGCACCGGGGUCCGGUUUCCCCAACGCGACGGCCACCCGCCCAUAGAGGACGUCGAAGGGAAGAGGAUCCGAGGACAUCCGCGAGCCCUCCAAGUCGGCCUCCGGUGUCAUCUCCCAAAGCGGCAGCCGACGCUCCGCCAAGGGAAGCACCCUCCGGCGGUGGAUGGCGGCAAUCACUCCCGCGGCGGUGAGUCCCCCUUUCCGCAACGCCUCCAAGGCCUUGAGAAGGGGUUCGAGGUUCUUCUGUCUCUCGUGCGGGGUCCCGUGGCGCCAAGCGUCGGCGACGAUGGUGACUACUCGCUGGGAGAACGGCGGAAGCAACUCGCCGUCAUUCCGGAGGUAGAACCACCGGCGCUGCCACCCUUUGUUCGAGGAUGCAAGGAUGGCGGGGAUAUACAGCGACGCCCGCGACUGCCUCAACUGAAGGAUGCAGCCGCCGGCCCGCACUGCCGUGUGGACCUUUCUCUCCCCCGUCGGCGAAGCGAAAAGCUCCGCGAAAAAGAGAUGAGUCCACAAGUCCCAGUGGGGGGCGAUCCCCAAGUACCCCUCACACACCGAUACGAAGAUGGCGGCCUGCGAGAUGGAGUUGGGGCUGAGGUUGUGCAACUCCACCCCGUAGUGGUGCAGAAUCGCCCGCAUAAAGCGGCUCGCCAGCACACCAAAUCCCCGCUCGUGGAAGGAGACGAAGCUUACGACGUACCCCGGCGGUGGGGACGGAGCGGCUCCGCCCACGGGAGGGAUCCACUCCGGCCGCGUCUCAUCAGAGAGAGGGCGAAGUAAACCCUCAGCAACAAGAUCCUCUAGAUCGCCCGCCGUCACUGUGGAGGAAGGCCAUGGGUCGCGCGGCGAGACGAUGGUCACCCGGUCAGCCAUCACCGAGCAGGAAGGGUGGCGGCGCAAAGGACAGGGUGGGCGGUUUCCUUUUCUCUGGCUAAAUCUCUCGGGUUGCGAAAACCUAAGAGGGAGGCAGGAAGCGGAGCAAAGAACCAUCGCCAGACCCUCUUCCAAGUAUAUAAAGAUCAAGGCGAGACCGGUUCAACGUUCCGCCCGGACCGGCCGCGGAAUUCAAAAACAUGAAGCGAAACAGCCGUUCCUCGAACGGCUCGCGCACACGUAGGGGUGGUAACGGAUCACGAUCCAAAUACCUCUUCACAAAAAGUUAAGGCCCUUAAAUAAUAUUAGUUCAAAAAUGAAUAAGAAUAGGGCCCGAUCCUAAUCCGAUUCGAUCCUUAAAAUUUGCAGUGUAAAGUUUAUAGCCCAUUACCACCUCUACGCACACGCAACGGCCACCCCGCGAACCGCACGCCCCGUCGCAUUAACUCCGCGGCAGGAAAGGCGGCGCCUCUGGCAGGAGAAGGGAGCGACGCUUCGCCUUCACCAUAAUGAUCGCGUCAAAAAAGGUACGCCACGUCAUUCAACUUCGUAUCCUUUUCCUUUUUUCCUCUUUCUCUCUCUUGCAAUAGGGACCGGGAAAGGGGGAUACCCCGAAAAGGAUCCUUCCCCGUGAAGGAACCAGGCCCCGAGCCUCCCUACUGAUCAGAGGUUCGAAGGCCGGCCCCUCGGAAGGGUUCAACAGCCGCCUCAGAGCGCGUGGGUUCCACACCCACUACUGGUCAGAGGUUCGAAGGCCGGACCCUCAGAAGGGUUCAACGGCCGCCUCAGGCUACUCGGGCUCCGCGCCCACUACUGAUCAGGGGUUCGAAGGCUGGCCCCCGAAGGGUUCACAGCCGCCUCAGACACAGAGCGAGGGAUGACCAUGGGUACGUUCGAUACAUAACCAAGGCUCGGGCUGCGCUCCCGAGGUACCCUAGGACAUUUCCGAGACCAGCGGGAACGAUCUUGUAACAGAAUCCCAUCAGAGGGAGGCAUCGAGCCCUCGGACCCCGUCGCUAGGGGACCGGGUCCGGCAGAUCACCCGCAGGUACUUUUGGGCGCGCCUCUGGGCCUCUAGCCGACCCCUAACGAACGGGGCAUGGACGUCCACUCGGAUUACCCGUCUGCAGCUCACCGGGGACACCAUGUUUGGCGCCCGCUGAGGGCAACAUGGCGCUCUCCCCCCCUCCUCCUUGCGGAAAGGCGACGCAGGGGCGUAUGUAAAAAUGUCGAGUCUGACCCUGAUCGCCCUCUCGCCCUGUGCAGAGGCUCGGGGGCUGCUCUCGCAAACCCGGCUCCAGCCACACCGUUGACAGCAUCAACAUACCAGCCCGAGAACUUGGGACCCGACCGUACACCCGGGCUACGGCCAGCUCGCAUGAGGGAACGACCAGACCAGCCGAAGCAUUACGCGAGGCAUUAAGACCUCGGAGGAGUCAAACCACUCCUCCGAGGCCUCGGGGGCUACACCCGGCGGGUGCGCUCGCGCGCACCCACCGGAACAAAACGCAACCGAGAAAGGCUGGUCCCCCUUGCAAAAAAGUGCGACGAAAGCCUCCAAGCGAGUGCUAACACUCCCUUCGAGGCUCGGGGGCUACUGUCGGGGACCAUAAUUAGGGGUACCCUCAAGGCUCCUAAUUCUCAGCUGGUAACCCCCAUCAGCAUAAAGCUGCAAAGGCCUGAUGGGUGCGAUUAAGUCAGGGAUCAGUCCAUUCGAGGGACUCGAUCACGCCUCGCCCGAGCCAAGGGCAGCCGACCCCGAAGGACCUCCGUCUCGCCCGAGGCCCCCCUCCAGCGAUGAACAUAUUUCCAGCUCGCCUGAGGCCCUGUCUUCGCCAAGAAGCAACCCUGACCAAAUCGCCGCACCGACCGACCAAAUCGCAGGAGCAUUUAAUGCAAAGGCGACCUGACACCUUUAUCCUGACGCGCGCCCCUCAGCCGACAGAGCCGAAGUGACCGCCGUCACUUCGCCGCUCCACUAACCGGUCUGACAGAAAGACAGCGCCGCCUGCGUGUAACACCCCAGGUGUUACUCAGGGUGUCCACCCUAGGGUUACCCCCUUUUACCCAUUAUCACAUGAAGAUUGACUUGGGCAAAGUAUACCACACUUGGAAUUCUAGGUCCUAAGCAGGUGUAAUCCACUUUGGAUGUCAUGCCCUAGCUUAUCAUGCACAUCUAAGUGGGGAUCUCCCAAAACCCUAGAACAAAACCCCCAUAGGCAAUUAUAACCCUAAUUGAAGCCAUGAUCAAAAGAGCAUGUAAACAUCAUGAUCAUGGCUUGGACCAAAUAUAAAAGUUGUAAUACACUCAAUAACCUACCAUUAAUAGUAAGGAAGUACCCCCAAAAAGUUUUCAGAAAAGUCCUAAAAAGAUCACCAAAGGUUGAACACAAGGGAAAAAUGCAGAUUUUGCCUAAGUUAAAACCCAACCCUUGAGCAAAGAUCCCUCAUGUUCACCUUGAUCCCCUUUUCAAAACCAGUCGACCCAAUUAGCAAAGUGGCGCCAAAUGAACCCUAGAAUGCCCUGGAAAAGUUUGAACCCAAGCCAAAACCAUUUGACACGAGUUGGCACUGGUUUUGUCUCGGUUUGCACAGGGCAGACAGACAAGACUUGGCGCUACCGUAUCUCUUCAACCAGACCACAUCUACCCUUGGAACUUACAUGAACUAGGUAGCCCUAGGUGCAGGGAAGAAAUCUCCCACAGGCGGUAGGGCAAGAUUCGUACGCCUGGCCGCUCAGCAGAGUGAAGAACACGGGCAGAAGCAACGCGCCACGUGUUCGACGCGCUCUGAGCUCGCCAGAGCACGCCCGCGCGCGCGCCCCGCGUGCCCGCGUCGCGCCAAACGGUGGAGCCGGCGCCCCGUCCGCGUCCGCGCCUAUAAAACCUGCCCCAGCGCUCGGUUGCCUUCCCCGUUACCUCCUCCGUACUUCGCCGGACUCGCCCGAGCCAGCCAUUGCCUCCGGCAACCUCCCCGCGACCCGCCAGUGCCGACCAAGAGCCACCGCCGUGGCCAACCCCUCUCCAGUCCCCCUUCGUUCGAUUCAAGCCCCAGAUAGCUUCCUGGUGAGACCGUGAGCUUGGCUCAAGCUUGAACCGAGAGCCCGCGUCACCGGAGAAGCCGAAUCGCGCUCACCGGAGUUCAAGCACUCGCCGGCGCACGUGGACCGGGUAAACCCCUUCACCAUUUCUCGAUUCGUUGCGCGCACGGCCUCUGUGUCACCCCGUGAAGCGCCUCGUGCACCCUAAUUGACCUACGCCGCCGUGGUUUGGCCGGAGCAGGCGUCGCCGUCGAUCCCCGCCGCCUGUGUUCGUGGCCAGGGGAGCUCCGACCACCUCUGACGCCGACCCGCACAUCGACGUGACCGUCGCGACCUCCUGAACAUCACCGACCACCUCGCCGGACCUCCCUCGCCGCCGGUAAGCCGCGCCACCCUUUCCUUUCCUGCGGCUACUGUUUCAGUUAGGGGAGGGACUGCGGGUGUGAGGGAGAGAAAUCCAGGGGGUUAAGUGAAAAGUCAGAGACCCAAGUGAAUAGUAGCGUAAGGGUAGAUCUGCGAGGUUUGAUUCAGUUUAAACCCAGGGACCUCGGCGCAAACUGUUUUUCCAGAAAAACUUAAUUAAAACCUGAUUUAAAUUCAAACAGAAACUUUAAAAACCUAUAACUUCUGUUUGGUUUACCCAAAUUUGGUCAAACUAAUUUUGCCAGACUCUAAAUAAUGUAACCUGUCUAAGAAAAAUAUAAAACCACAUAAGUACUAUAGAAAAAUGUAAGGUCCUGAUUUAAUUACAGUUUGAACCAAAAGCUUAAUAAUAGCAAGAAAAAUGGUUGUAUUAUUUAACUAAGGUUAGAAAAAUUUAGAGAAGUUAUUAUCUACCUACUGACCUAGUUAAAAAUGUUAAACACCUCUGUCCACUACAUUAGGAUAUAUUUUACCCCUUAUCCCAUAAUGUGUUUAAGAUUAAGAAAAAUAGGAAAGGUGACAUAAAUAAGGAACGAGAGGGCACCCCUAUUUUUGUUGAGAUACUUAUUCAAUAUAGUUCACUGGAAAAAUAUAUCAUACCCUGGUUUAGUACAGAUUAAGUAGGAUAUCUUUUAUUUUAUUAAAACAAGGAUAACUUAGAAAAACCCUACAAAAAUGACCCCAAGGUAAAAACACCCCCACCCUUGGGAUAACUAUUGAUUUAUCAGAAAGAACUUAGGAAAAAUAAGAAAUCUGCUGUUUGAUAUUUUUCAAAUAAUAAUGUAGUAGAAAGUGCCUUUUUGACAUUAAACUUGAGAAAAUCAUAGCUAAUUAACCACCCCUUAGUUUCCUGUGAUUUUUAGCACAAAGACCUAUUAUUACCAGGGGAUGCCAACAAAUAUAACCUUUAGGACAGAGCCUACCCCUAACUAGGAGGUGUAGUGUAAAGUGCCCCUUUUUGCCUAACUUUUGUUAUUUUUGUUUAAGGCCUAACUUUUAUACCUUAAGCCUCAAAUUCUUAAAACAAGCUAAAAUAGCCAGUGACAACCCACUGUAAUUUUUACAGAAUUUUUGGAAAUUAUUAAAACCCUGUUGUAGUUCAAACCUACCCUAGAAAACCUAAAUGGAAAUUAAGGGAAGAGAAAUAAAAGAUAUGAAUAAAGGUUGUCCCUAAAAACUUUAUUUGCUGUCCACAAAAAUAUAUCAAAGCAAUACCAAACCAAUAUGUUGUCCUAAAUGAAAACCUAAGUCCAAAGAGUAAUAAGUCUAUCUAUGUACCACUAGAAGCCCCGCAUAACUAAGAAAACCCUAAGUUACUUCUUGACUUAGUCUCUUUUUGCAUAAUGUUAUUAAAUCAUGCAUAAUCAUGACAUACAUGUUCAUUGCAUUCGCUAGACUGUAAUCUUGCUGACGGAGAGUACAUCCUCGUGCCGGAGCAAGGAGCUGCUCAGGAGGUAGCCCCAGAUCCAGCACCAGAGCCAGCACCAGAGGACCUGCCUGCCACUGCUUUGGAAGGCAAGCCCCGGUUUUAUGCAUAACCUGUUAUUAUACUAUUUUACUUCACUUAAUGCUUGUAGGAUUGAUUGUGCACUUAAGUGUAGGAAUUGUUUGAAACCCUAGUUGCAUGAUCUCAGGAAUCCCAUUGAGAUGAAUACUAGUAUGAUAGGUCGAGUAGUUGCUUUAUUUAAAUAGGAUCUCGGUAGAAGACGAGUGAUUUUUCUAGCACUCGCGCGAGAUCAGGGAAUUGAUUGUACCCACUUUCACAUUAUCAUGAUACUGGUUGAUGGACAACAAUCCAUGGGGAUUGGUUGUCUAUGAGAUGAAAUUUGAAUAAGGAUUAAGGUGUGGUACCGUGUGUCAAGCGUUUGAACGUACUAAACACAUACCGAGAAAUAUGGUAAAUCGGUAAGCCUAGUACCUGAUUGAACCUGGCAGUAGACUUUGCCCCUCACGCGACCUGAGACGAGGUCUCCCAUUCCGGUUAUGGUGGGUACAAGUGCGGUCACUGCACGACGGCCAGUCGGGGUCAGUGAGGCAUUGUACGCCAAGGCGGUGAGCCCUGUUCUGCUGACGGGGAAUCGAUGGGGACGGUUGAUGUGUGUGGGGACGGAGUGCCCCUGCAUGUCGUGUGUUUAGGUUUACCUUGCAAGGAUAAAAACUCGAUUCGAAUCGUCUGCUUCUCGCAGUUAAUGAGACUGCUUGAUCCAUGCUGCUACAUUGAGUAAUAAGUGGAAGUAUGAUGAGUUGAGAUAAGAUGUUGAUUGUUAAUAAUGCUUGCUACCAUGUAUGAGUAGAUAGUUCACUUUUAGCCUUAAGAGAGUCACACUUAACUUUGACUAAGUUAAAAUCUUGAUUUAGAAACUCAGCUAGUGCUUUUGGCAACCAAACCCCACAGCCAAACAGCUGCAUGUCUAGAGGUAGAGGAGUAGACUCCUCACACCGGGUAAGUCUAGCUGAGUAUUAGUAUACUCAGCCUUGCUUGUGGCAUAAUUUUUACAGGUUCUCUGGAGGAGAUGGUUGCGGGGAUAACUUGGCCGACCACCCUGCCACCGGGUUGGACUGUCGAGUGGGACCCUGCCUCGGCUGAGGAGGAGCAUGAGGAGUGAUGGGACAUGCUUCCCCAUCUCUCUGUUUUAUUUACCGUUAGUUCUAUUCCGCUGCACUUCGAACAAUGAGGGAUACUUUUGCAGAAACUCCGAUGAUGAUGAUGGUGAUGUAAUAAUUCAACAUUAUGACAUGUAUGGUUUUAUGCUUUAUUGUAUUUGCUCUGUGACUCGCCUUCGAGUGAGAUUGUGGUACUUGAUCCUGUCAGUGGCCGUGUCGGACUAGAUCCGAGGGAUUGACGGGUUAUUCCCAUUUAAGUGUGGUCUAGCCUCUAAGGCGGGACUUGGACACUUAAGUUGGAAUAAUUCGGGCAGUUCCGCCACACUGCGCCGCUCCGACUGCGGUGCCACUUGACAGAGUGAGGCUGACAGGCAGUCAGGCCCGGCUGCAGGCACCAUAGGAAGCUCCGCUCCGCCCGACCCAGUACUCGGACUCGGGCUAAGUCCCAGAAGACGGCGAACUUGAGAGCACCUAGAGGGGGGGUGAAUAGGUGAUCCUGUAAAACUUUAAACUUAUAGCCACAAAAACUUGGUUAAUCGUUAGCACAAUAAUUGCCAAGUGGCUAGAGAGGAGCCAAAACACAAUAACCACAAGAAAUCAAUCACAGAGAUGACACGGUGGUUAUCCCGUGGUUCGGCCAAGUACAAAACUUGCCUACUCCACGUUGUGGCGUCCCAACGGACGAGAGUUGCACUCAACUCCUCUCAAGUGAUCCAAUGAUCAACUUGAAUACCACGGUGUUCUUCUUUACUUUGAUCUUUUCCCGUUUGCGAGGAAUCUCCACAACUUGGAGUCUCUCGCCCUUACAAUUGAAUUUCACAAAGAAGUAUGGAGUAAGGGAGGGAAGCAACACACACAAAUCCACAGCAAAAUGCGCACACACACGGCCAAGAAUCGAGCUCAAAAGACUAUCUCAAAGUUCUCACUAGAACGGAGCUCGAAUCACUGAGAAUGACAAACGAAUGCGCAAAGACUGAGUGUGGAUGAUCAAGAAUGCUCUUAGGUUGCUUGGUUAUCUCCGAGGGAUUGACGGGUUAUUCCCAUUUAAGUGUGGUCUAGCCUCUAAGACGGGACUUGGACACUUAAGUUGGAAUAAUUCGGGCAGUUCCGCCACAGCUGGUAUCGGAGCUUGUACCACCACAGAGGAAUCAAUAAAAUGUAAAUACCAUCAAUUUUUCUAAAUAAAAAUUGAUAGAAACAAGGUUGGAUAGAUAGUAGGACGAGCAGGAUAGACCUAGGACGUGAAGCCUUAGGUUACUAGAAGGGUAGCUAGGUGGCUAAGUAACUAGGCCCUACAGGCCACUUUUACAGGAUGGGAGUUCCUCCCUAUUCCUUUUAGCUUGUUGUGAGGUCGUUCAGGACGAGCAUGCAUGCAUUCAUAAUUAAGCAAAUGGAUAACUGAGUAAAAGACUUAAAAACAAGAUAACAACCAACUAGGUCCCUAGUGCCUUUUUACUUAACUAGAGGAGGGCUGAGUUUUAUUCUCCUUGUUCUUUUUACCAUUCUUUUUCUUUUACUUACGCUUAACCGUACACAGAUGACUUCCCACGGAUCCUCCGAUGACGGAAAUGCACUGACCCACACGGACGGACUUGCACGAGAGGGUUUUCCCCGCAUUUUGUGGGAAGUACUUCAGGGGGCUGGAUACACGACACCCCCUCAGUACGCGGUGCAGCAGUUCGAGAAGCACCGAGUGCCCCGCUGUAGGGUGAGGAUGACCUUGGAGCCUCAUCCCCUGCAGCCAGGCUGGCGCUCCUUGGACUCGGAGUCUUUCGGGUACCGGGCAGAGGACACGAUCGAGGCGAUCGCUCUGCAUGGAUUGACUACCUUCUGCGGGUUCCAUCCCUUGGAGCUGGCUACCCAUCCCAUUGGCUUGUUCCCCGCUGAAAAGGAGGACGACCCAAUGUGGAAGGAUCGGGUGGAGCAUGCCAAGGACAUCUGGGCCAUCUACCCAGGUCAGACUGCGCACUUGACAGUACGGUGCAUGAAUGCUCUGUACCGUCUGCAAGUGAUGCGCGGUGAGGCCAUGUCCCAUCUGAUGGCACUGCUGGAGGCAACAAAGAUCACGCUGGAUGACAGAGAGGAGCUCGUGGUGGACUUAUCUCAAGAAUUAGUGGAGAAAGACUUGCAGGUGGAGCAGCUAUCCACCGAUAUUCAAGAGUUGGAGGAGUUGGUGGGUACAAGGGAGAACACCAUUGAGGUUCUCGAGGAUCAGCUCCUUAACACUCAGCAACAGCUUGCUGAGGCUAACAAGCACCUGGACAUGCAUCACCAGGAGAUCCAGGACCAGGAGGACAACGAGGACGUCGACAUUGAGGGAGGAGAUGAGCCUGCCUCCAGUGUGGACACUGCUGGCUCGGGAAGACCACCUUCCCCCGAGUCCAGUGUUGCUUCGUUCGCUCACUAGGUGUCCAGGGUAGGCUUAGAAGUCGGACAGUCGGACUCCUUGCAGCUAGCUUAGCUUUUGCACCCUUGGGGUACUAGGCUAGAUAGAGUUGAGUCAUUUUGGAACAAUUUGAUGUAACCGUGUUAAACUAUCUUGGGAGCUUGUUUGAUGGAUGUUAUUGUCAGUUUAAAUUGGAAGGAAGAAUUUAUGCCUCUUAAAGAAUCCCUUUUGUUGAAGUCAGAUCUUUCAUGCUGUUUUUAACCAGUCCUCGUGAUAAAAAAAAAUCUUGAAUGAUUGGAAUUAUGGUGUUAAAUAAGUAUGUGGAUUUUUCAGAUGGCCGGGAGGCAGCGUCGUGGCCAGAACGAGCGCGUUCCUCCACCGCCACCACCACCUCCCACUCUGCAGGAGCUCAUGGCUCAGCAGAAUGAGAUCCUGAGGCAGCUGGCUCAACGUCAGCCACCACCCCAGCAUUAUGGUGGUGGAGACCACCAGCGUCACCCCGCGGCGGCCACCUAUCAGGAAUUCCUCAGCACCCAGCCUCCACUGUUCACAAGGGCGGAAGACCCACUUGACGCAGAUGUGUGGCUGCGAGUGGUGGAGUCCAAAUUUCCACUGCUCCAUGGAGUUUGCUCAGAGGUCACCAAAGUCAGGUUCGCCACCCAACAGCUUCGCGGACCUGCAAGGACUUGGUGGGAUCACUUUCUUGCUAUGCAGCCAGAGGACCGAGAGGUGGAGUGGAGGGAGUUUAAGGCAGCUUUUAGAGGACACCAUAUACCAGCCGGGAUCAUGGACAGGAAACUCAAUGAGUUCUUGGCACUCACUCAGGGCAACAGGACAGUGUUGCAGUAUGCCCAGGCCUUUAAUGACUUGUGCCAGUAUGCGGGAUAUCAUGCGGAUACAGAUGAGAAGAAGAGGGACAGAUUCAGAAGGGGGCUCAGCACUAAGCUCCGGGAUCGUCUCAACACCGUCAGGGCCAACAGCUACAAUGAGUUGGUCAACAUGGCUAUCUCCCAAGAGGACUGCAUUACAGCUAGGCAGGCAGAGAAGAAAAGGAAGACCCCUGUGGCAGGACCCUCAGCUCAGCCACAGCGUUUCCGGAUUGUGUCCGACACCCAGGGCAGGGGACCCCAGCAGCAGCAAGGGCGAUGGGUAAUUCGACCUCAGCAGCAGCAGCAGCAGGCACCCAACCGCAACUAGUUUCCAGCACAGCGGAAUAAUCAGCAGCAGCAGUACCGCCAGGCCAAUGACAACAGAUGUUUCACUUGUGGCAACACUGGGCAUUAUGCCAAGAAUUGCCCCAGGAACCAGCAGAGGCAGGGGCAGAAUGCUAACCAGAACCAAGGCAAGAGGCAGAAGGUGCAAGUGAGGCAAGGCAGGCUGAACUUCACCACCAUGGUUGAUAUCCCAGAGGGAGCACCCGUCUUGACUCGUAUCUUUACAGUUUUGAAUUAUCCUGCUAUUAUUCUUUUUGAUUCUGGUGCAUCACACAGUUUUAUCAGUACCAAAUUUAGUGCCAAGUGCCAAUUGCCUUUUCACCACACCAAUGGGGGUAUCACAAUCUCAACACCAGGGGGCAGGGUUGCCUCCUAUCAGAUCUGUAGGCACGUACCAAUUAAGCUGGGUAGUCUCAUUUUCAAAACUACCCUAAUGAUAAUGGGAUUGGAUAGUGUGGAUAUCAUCUUAGGGACUGAUUGGUUGUCACGACACCACGCAGUGAUUGAUGUCGCAGCUAGAGCCAUAGAACUCCGCUCCCCUGUUGAUGGUGAGAUUUCCUUAUAUCUACCCGACCAGGGAUGCACCCGUUCUUGUGCUUUUGCUAUGAUAGAAAUCCCCAGUGGAAAAGAUCCCAGUGGUCUGUGACUAUCCAGAUGUUUUUCCGGAUGAAUUGCCAGGAAUGCCGCCUGACCGAGACAUUGAGUUCGCAAUUGAGUUGCAACCCGGGACUGCUCCGAUCUCCAAGAGACCGUAUCGGAUGCCUCCCGCGGAAUUGGCAGAAUUGAAGAAGCAAUUGCAAGAGUUGUUGGACAAGGGGUUUAUUCGUCCCAGCACUUCACCAUGGGGAUGUCCAGCCUUAUUUGUGAAGAAAAAGGAUGAGAGUUUGAGGAUGUGCGUUGACUACCGUCCUCUCAAUGCGGUGACCAUAAAGAACAAAUACCCGUUGCCUCGCAUUGAUGUUCUGUUUGAUCAAUUGGUUGGAGCCAAGGUAUUCUCCAAGAUAGACCUUCGCUCAGGAUACCAUCAAAUAAAGAUCCGCGCUAGUGAUAUUCCCAAGACAGCUUUCUCUACAAGAUAUGGACUGUAUGAGUUUCUGGUGAUGUCUUUUGGGCUGACCAAUGCCCCGGCUUAUUUUAUGUACCUGAUGAAUUCAGUGUUUAUGCCGGAAUUGGAUAAGUUCGUGGUUGUCUUCAUUGAUGAUAUUCUGGUUUAUUCCAAAAAUAAAGACGAACAUGCUGAGCACCUGCACAUUGUGCUUCAACGAUUGCGCGAUCAUCAUCUUUAUGCUAAGUUGUCUAAGUGUGAGUUCUGGCUGAAGGAGAUCAAAUUCUUGGGUCAUACAAUUUCUCAGGAUGGGGUAUCAGUUGAUCCUGAGAAGGUGCAAGAAGUGAUGGAUUGGAAACCCCCGACCACAGUAAAGCAAAUUCGGAGUUUUCUGGGAUUGGCAGGGUAUUAUCGACGAUUUAUUCCGGAUUUCUCCAGAAUUGCCAAACCAAUGACUGAACUGUUAAAGAAGGGAGUCAAAUUUGAGUGGAGCCAGAAGUGUGAAGAUGCCUUUCAUACCUUGAGGCAGCAUUUGACAACAGCCCCAGUGCUAGCCCAACCUGACAACACCAAGCCAUUUGAAGUUUAUUGUGAUGCUUCUGGUACUGGUUUGGGAUGUGUCCUGAUGCAAGAGAACAGAGUGAUUGCUUAUGCUUCCCGGGCACUCAGGCCCCAUGAGCAGAACUACCCUACACAUGAUCUAGAGUUGGCAGCUGUAGUUCAUGCUCUAAAGAUAUGGAGACACUACUUGAUGGGAGCUCACUGUAACAUCUAUACUGAUCACAAGAGUCUCAAAUACAUCUUCACUCAGGCAGAUCUGAACAUGAGGCAAAGGAGAUGGUUAGAAUUGAUCAAGGACUAUGAUCUGGAGGUGCAUUACCACCCUGGUAAGGCCAAUGUUGUGGCAGAUGCCUUAAGCAGAAAGGCCCAGUGCUAUUGCAUGAGCAUGGAUGUGGGAGUUACCACCCUGUGUGAUGAGUUGUGCAGAUUAAACCUGGAAGUUGUUUCUUCAGGUGACCUAAGCUAUAUCUCGGUAGAACCCACGUUGCAGGAGCAAAUCAUAAGGGCUCAGGUUGAGGAUAAGGGUGUUCAGGUUAUCAAGGAUAUGAUCAAGCAAAAGGCAGAGAAAUACAAGUGUUUCCGGCAGGACAGCAAGGGAAUCCUAUGGUUUGGAGAUCGAUUGGUUGUUCCUAAGGACCCUGAGCUCAGAAAGAAGAUACUAGAUGAAGCUCACCUUUCCAAAUUCUCCAUGCACCCUGGUAGCACCAAGAUGUACCAUGACCUCAGAUCUUUGUAUUGGUGGACUAGAAUGAAAAGAGAAAUUGCCAAGUACAUAUCCGAGUGUGAUACUUGCCAGAGGAUAAAGGCUAGUCACUUGAAGGCAGCAGGCCCUUUGCAACCCCUUCCCAUACCAUCUUGGAAAUGGGAGGACAUUUGCAUGGACUUUAUAGUGGGAUUACCCAAUACCUCCAGGCACCAUGAUUCUAUUUGGGUUAUCGUGGACAGGUUGACCAAGACUGCUCAUUUCUUGCCAGUGCAUACCACCCACAGGGCAGAGAAGUACGCUGAAAUUUAUAUUGAUCAGAUAGUAAGGUUGCAUGGUAUUCCCAAGACCAUUGUAUCUGACAGAGGAGCACCUUUUGUGGCACGAUUUUGGGAGCAAUUGCAAGAGUCACUUGGGACCCAUGUCAUCCGAAGCUCAGCCUAUCACCCCCAAACCGAUGGCCAAACAGAAAGGGUGAAUCAGAUUUUGGAAGACAUGUUGCGAGCAUGUGCACUACAUUAUGGAAAAGAUUGGGACAAGUGUCUGUCUUUGGCAGAGUUCUCUUACAACAAUAGCUAUCAAUCCAGUCUGAAGAUGGCACCUUUUGAGGCAUUAUAUGGGAGAAGGUGUAGGACCCCACUGAAUUGGUCUCAAGUAGGAGAAAGGGAAAUUUUUGGGCCAGACUUAGUACUCGAAGCAGAGGCAAAGGUCAGGGUCAUUACCAAGAACUUGGAAGCUGCUCAGGCUAGGCAAAGGAGCUAUCACGAUAAGAGGCGGAAGCCUCUACAGUUUGAGGUGGGAGAUCAUGUAUAUCUUAAGAUAUCACCCACCAAGGGUGUUCAGAGAUUCGGGAUCAAGGGCAAGUUAGCUCCUCGCUAUAUUGGACCCUACGAGAUCAAGGAGGCUUGUGGACCCGUAGCCUAUCAAGUGGAAUUGCCACCUCACAUGUCGGCAGUUCAUAAUGUGUUCCAUGUAUCUCAGCUGCGGAAAUGCGUUCGUCUACCCACUGAAGUACUCCCGGAACCAGACAUUGAGAUAGAACCAGACUUGUCCUAUCAAGAGUACCCCGUCAAGGUGUUAGAUCAAAAGGAGAGAUCAACUCGGGCAAGUCGGUCAGAAUGUAUAAGGUUCAGUGGAGUCACCAUUCAGCAGAAGAAGCUACAUGGGAGACUGAGGAUUUUCUACGCUCUCGCUUCCCCGACUUUCUACCCAAAGGAGUCGGUAUGUAACCCCAGAAACCCCCCCCACCUGCCCUUUGAAUCCAAUUAUGAGAAAAACUUAGAUAACAAGGGUAGUCUAAGUUGCGGAUUUAACUUAAGAAGGGCUUCCUUCUGAAGUUGCAAAGAGAAUGACAUUCGAAGAGCAGUUAACAAGAGAAACUUAAGUGUAAAGGAAAAAGCAACACCAGCACACCUUCAAGCACCCUCCAAGGGACUCUACCUAAAUCUCGGGGCGAGAUUCCUUUAAGGGGGGAGGGCUGUAACACCCCAGGUGUUACUCAGGGUGUCCACCCUAGGGUUACCCCCUUUUACCCAUUAUCACAUGAAGAUUGACUUGGGCAAAGUAUACCACACUUGGAAUUCUAGGUCCUAAGCAGGUGUAAUCCACUUUGGAUGUCAUGCCCUAGCUUAUCAUGCACAUCUAAGUGGGGAUCUCCCAAAACCCUAGAACAAAACCCCCAUAGGCAAUUAUAACCCUAAUUGAAGCCAUGAUCAAAAGAGCAUGUAAACAUCAUGAUCAUGGCUUGGACCAAAUAUAAAAGUUGUAAUACACUCAAUAACCUACCAUUAAUAGUAAGGAAGUACCCCCAAAAAGUUUUCAGAAAAGUCCUAAAAAGAUCACCAAAGGUUGAACACAAGGGAAAAAUGCAGAUUUUGCCUAAGUUAAAACCCAACCCUUGAGCAAAGAUCCCUCAUGUUCACCUUGAUCCCCUUUUCAAAACCAGUCGACCCAAUUAGCAAAGUGGCGCCAAGUGAACCCUAGAAUGCCCUGGAAAAGUUUGAACCCAAGCCAAAACCAUUUGACACGAGUUGGCACUGGUUUUGUCUCGGUUUGCACAGGGCAGACAGACAAGACUUGGCGCUACCGUAUCUCUUCAACCAGACCACAUCUACCCUUGGAACUUACAUGAACUAGGUAGCCCUAGGUGCAGGGAAGAAAUCUCCCACAGGCGGUAGGGCAAGAUUCGUACGCCUGGCCGCUCAGCAGAGCGAAGAACACGGGCAGAAGCAACGCGCCACGUGUUCGACGCGCUCUGAGCUCGCCAGAGCACGCCCGCGCGCGCGCCCCGCGUGCCCGCGUCGCGCCAAACGGUGGAGUCGGCGCCCCGUCCGCGUCCGCGCCUAUAAAACCUGCCCCAGCGCUCGGUUGCCUUCCCCGUUACCUCCUCCGUACUUCGCCGGACUCGCCCGAGCCAGCCAUUGCCUCCGGCGACCUCCCCGCGACCCGCCAGUGCCGACCAAGAGCCACCGCCGUGGCCAACCCCUCUCCAGCCCCCCUCCGUUCGAUUCAAGCCCCAGAUAGCUUCCUGGUGAGACCGUGAGCUUGGCUCAAGCUUGAACCGAGAGCCCGCGUCACCGGAGAAGCCGAAUCGCGCUCACCGGAGUUCAAGCACUCGCCGGCGCACGUGGACCGGGUAAACCCCUUCACCAUUUCUCGAUUCGUUGCGCGCACGGCCUCUGUGUCACCCCGUGAAGCGCCUCGUGCACCCUAAUUGACCUACGCCGCCGUGGUUUGGCCGGAGCAGGCGUCGCCGUCGAUCCCCGCCGCCUGUGUUCGUGGCCAGGGGAGCUCCGACCACCUCUGACGCCGACCCGCACAUCGACGUGACCGUCGCGACCUCCUGAACAUCACCGACCACCUCGCCAGACCUCCCUCGCCGCCGGUAAGCCGCGCCACCCUUUCCUUUCCUGCGGCUACUGUUUCAGUUAGGGGAGGGACUACGGGUGUGAGGGAGAGAAAUCCAGGGGGUUAAGUGAAAAGUCAGAGACCCAAGUGAAUAGUAGCGUAAGGGUAGAUCUGCGAGGUUUGAUUCAGUUUAAACCCAGGGACCUCGGCGCAAACUGUUUUUCCAGAAAAACUUAAUUAAAACCUGAUUUAAAUUCAAACAGAAACUUUAAAAACCUAUAACUUCUGUUUGGUUUACCCAAAUUUGGUCAAACUAAUUUUGCCAGACUCUAAAUAAUGUAACCUGUCUAAGAAAAAUAUAAAACCACAUAAGUACUAUAGAAAAAUGUAAGGUCCUGAUUUAAUUACAGUUUGAACCAAAAGCUUAAUAAUAGCAAGAAAAAUGGUUGUAUUAUUUAACUAAGGUUAGAAAAAUUUAGAGAAGUUAUUAUCUACCUACUGACCUAGUUAAAAAUGUUAAACACCUCUGUCCACUACAUUAGGAUAUAUUUUACCCCUUAUCCCAUAAUGUGUUUAAGAUUAAGAAAAAUAGGAAAGGUGACAUAAAUAAGGAACCAGAGGGCACCCCUAUUUUUGUUGAGAUACUUAUUCAAUAUAGUUCACUGGAAAAAUAUAUCAUACCCUGGUUUAGUACAGAUUAAGUAGGAUAUCUUUUAUUUUAUUAAAACAAGGAUAACUUAGAAAAACCCUACAAAAAUGACCCCAAGGUAAAAACACCCCCACCCUUGGGAUAACUAUUGAUUUAUCAGAAAGAACUUAGGAAAAAUAAGAAAUCUGCUGUUUGACAUUUUUCAAAUAAUAAUGUAGUAGAAAGUGCCUUUUUGACAUUAAACUUGAGAAAAUCAUAGCUAAUUAACCACCCCUUAGUUUCCUGUGAUUUUUAGCACAAAGACCUAUUAUUACCAGGGGAUGCCAACAAAAAUAACCUUUAGGACAGAGCCUACCCCUAACUAGGAGGUGUAGUGUAAAGUGCCCCUUUUUGCCUAACUUUUGUUAUUUUUGUUUAAGGCCUAACUUUUAUACCUUAAGCCUCAAAUUCUUAAAACAAGCUAAAAUAGCCAGUGACAACCCACUGUAAUUUUUACAGAAUUUUUGGAAAUUAUUAAAACCCUGUUGUAGUUCAAACCUACCCUAGAAAACCUAAAUGGAAAUUAAGGGAAGAGAAAUAAAAGAUAUGAAUAAAGGUUGUCCCUAAAAACUUUAUUUGCUGUCCACAAAAAUAUAUCAAAGCAAUACCAAACCAAUAUGUUGUCCUAAAUGAAAACCUAAGUCCAAAGAGUAAUAAGUCUAUCUAUGUACCACUAGAAGCCCCGCAUAACUAAGAAAACCCUAAGUUACUUCUUGACUUAGUCUCUUUUUGCAUAAUGUUAUUAAAUCAUGCAUAAUCAUGACAUACAUGUUCAUUGCAUUCGCUAGACUGUAAUCUUGCUGACGGAGAGUACAUCCUCGUGCCGGAGCAAGGAGCUGCUCAGGAGGUAGCCCCAGAUCCAGCACCAGAGCCAGCACCAGAGGACCUGCCUGCCACUGCUUUGGAAGGCAAGCCCCGGUUUUAUGCAUAACCUGUUAUUAUACUAUUUUACUUCACUUAAUGCUUGUAGGAUUGAUUGUGCACUUAAGUGUAGGAAUUGUUUGAAACCCUAGUUGCAUGAUCUCAGGAAUCCCAUUGAGAUGAAUACUAGUAUGAUAGGUCGAGUAGUUGCUUUAUUUAAAUAGGAUCUCGGUAGAAGACGAGUGAUUUUUCUAGCACUCGCGCGAGAUCAGGGAAUUGAUUGUACCCACUUUCACAUUAUCAUGAUACUGGUUGAUGGACAACAAUCCAUGGGGAUUGGUUGUCUAUGAGAUGAAAUUUGAAUAAGGAUUAAGGUGUGGUACCGUGUGUCAAGCGUUUGAACGUACUAAACACAUACCGAGAAAUAUGGUAAAUCGGUAAGCCUAGUACCUGAUUGAACCUGGCAGUAGACUUUGCCCCUCACGCGACCUGAGACGAGGUCUCCCAUUCCGGUUAUGGUGGGUACAAGUGCGGUCACUGCACGACGGCCAGUCGGGGUCAGUGAGGCAUUGUACGCCAAGGCGGUGAGCCUUUUCUGCUGACGGGGAAUCGAUGGGGACGGUUGAUGUGUGUGGGGACGGAGUGCCCCUGCAUGUCGUGUGUUUAGGUUUACCUUGCAAGGAUAAAAACUCGAUUCGAAUCGUCUGCUUCUCGCAGUUAAUGAGACUGCUUGAUCCAUGAUGCUACAUUGAGUAAUAAGUGGAAGUAUGAUGAGUUGAGAUAAGAUGUUGAUUGUUAAUAAUGCUUGCUACCAUGUAUGAGUAGAUAGUUCACUUUUAGCCUUAAGAGAGUCACACUUAACUUUGACUAAGUUAAAAUCUUGAUUUAGAAACUCAGCUAGUGCUUUUGGCAACCAAACCCCACAGCCAAACAGCUGCAUGUCUAGAGGUAGAGGAGUAGACUCCUCACACCGGGUAAGUCUAGCUGAGUAUUAGUAUACUCAGCCUUGCUUGUGGCAUAAUUUUUACAGGUUCUCUGGAGGAGAUGGUUGCGGGGAUAACUUGGCCGACCACCCUGCCACCGGGUUGGACUGUCGAGUGGGACCCUGCCUCGGCUGAGGAGGAGCAUGAGGAGUGAUGGGACAUGCUUCCCCAUCUCUCUGUUUUAUUUACCGUUAGUUCUAUUCCGCUGCACUUCGAACAAUGAGGGAUACUUUUGCAGAAACUCCGAUGAUGAUGAUGGUGAUGUAAUAAUUCAACAUUAUGACAUGUAUGGUUUUAUGCUUUAUUGUAUUUGCUCUGUGACUCGCCUUCGAGUGAGAUUGUGGUACUUGAUCCUGUCAGUGGCCGUGUCGGACUAGAUCCGAGGGAUUGACGGGUUAUUCCCAUUUAAGUGUGGUCUAGCCUCUAAGGCGGGACUUGGACACUUAAGUUGGAAUAAUUCGGGCAGUUCCGCCACACUGCGCCGCUCCGACUGCGGUGCCACUUGACAGAGUGAGGCUGACAGGCAGUCAGGCCCGGCUGCAGGCACCAUAGGAAGCUCCGCUCCGCCCGACCCAGUACUCGGACUCGGGCUAAGUCCCAGAAGACGGCGAACUUGAGAGCACCUAGAGGGGGGGUGAAUAGGUGAUCCUGUAAAACUUUAAACUUAUAGCCACAAAAACUUGGUUAAUCGUUAGCACAAUAAUUGCCAAGUGGCUAGAGAGGAGCCAAAACACAAUAACCACAAGAAAUCAAUCACAGAGAUGACACGGUGGUUAUCCCGUGGUUCGGCCAAGUACAAAACUUGCCUACUCCACGUUGUGGCGUCCCAACGGACGAGAGUUGCACUCAACUCCUCUCAAGUGAUCCAAUGAUCAACUUGAAUACCACGGUGUUCUUCUUUACUUUGAUCUUUUCCCGUUUGCGAGGAAUCUCCACAACUUGGAGUCUCUCGCCCUUACAAUUGAAUUUCACAAAGAAGUACGGAGUAAGGGAGGGAAGCAACACACACAAAUCCACAGCAAAAUGCGCACACACACGGCCAAGAAUCGAGCUCAAAAGACUAUCUCAAAGUUCUCACUAGAACGGAGCUCGAAUCACUGAGAAUGACAAACGAAUGCGCAAAGACUGAGUGUGGAUGAUCAAGAAUGCUCUUAGGUUGCUUGGUUAUCUCCUCCAUGCGCCUAGGGGUCCCUUUUAUAGCCCCAAGGCAGCUAGGAGCCGUUGAGAGCAAUCAGGGAAGGCAAAUCUUGCCUUCUGUCGCGUGGCGCACCGGACAGUCCGGUGCACACCGGACACUGUCCGGUGCCCGAUUCCCUUCCUUAAUUGGCGAAGCCGACCGUUGGCUGGCUCGGAGCCGUUGGCGCACCGGACAUGUCCGGUGCACACCGGACAGUCCGGUGCCCCCUUCUAGCCGUUGGCUCGGCCACGUGUCCCGCGCAGAUUGCGCGGCCGACCGUUGGCCCGGCCGACCGUUGGCUCACCGGACAGUCCGGUGAAUUUUAGCCGUACGCCGUCGGCAAAUUCCCGAGAGCGGGCACUUCACGCCGAGUCAGCCUGGCGCACCGGACACUGUCCGGUGCACCAUCGGACAGUCCGGUGUGCCAGACUGAGCUGAGUCUUGGCUGUACACAGCCAAGUCUUUUUCACCUCUUUUCUUUUCUUCUUCUUUCUGUUUCUAACACUUAGACAAGUAUAUUAGUACACAAAACCAAUGUACUAAGGCUUAGAAACAUACCUUUACUCUUGAUUUGCACUUUGUCCAUGCAUGAGCAUAAAUUCACAUUUAAGCACUUGUGUUGGCACUCAAUCACCAAAAUACUUAGAAAUGGCUUAAGAGCACAUUUCCCUUUCAAUCUCCCCCUUUUUGGUGAUUUAUGCCAACACAACAUAAAGCGACUAGAACAAGUGCAAUAUCACUUCAAAUAAAACUCAAAUUUAUUUUGAUUCAAUUUUUGGUAUAUAUGGAUCAUCCUUUGCCACCACUUGGUUUGUUUUUGCAAAUCAGACUCAAAUCUCUAUCUCUAAGUCAAACACACAUGUUGAAGCAUAAAGAGAGUCAUUCCAAAAGAGAUUGAUCAAAGAUUUCAAAAACUCCCCCUAUUUCCCAUAAUCAACACUUCUCCCCACAAGAGGCCAACUUUUGACAAAAGAGACAAUGCAAGAGUUUUGACAAAACAAAAAGCUCUAUUUUACUAUUUUUCAAAAUUUCUCAAGUGGUAGCUGAUCCAUUUAUUGCUUUGGCCUUUAUUUUCUCCCCCUUUGGCAUGAAGCACCAAAACGGGAUCAAUCUUGGCCCUUGAACCCCAUUGCCUCACCAAAAUCUUCAAUUAAGAGCAAAUGGCAAUAGGAGUUCAUGAGAUGAACUUGGAAUAAGUUACCCUCUCAUUGAAGUCCAGUGGAAGUCUUUCAUGGUCCAAGUCCACCUUUUCCCUUUCAAUUCUCCUUCGAGACUAAAACAAGCAAACUCAAGCAUAUGGUUAGUCUCAAAGGGUCAAGUUGUAACACAACUCCCCCUAAAUAUGUGCAUCACUUACACAAGGACUUGUGAGGUCCAGGGAAUGUUUGUACAACUUGAGCACCACAAUAAGCAACAAAAUGCAGAAUGAACAUGAUCAAAGACAUAAACACAUGUAUGCUACAAUUCAAUCCAAGUUCCGCGAAUCUAAGACAUUUAGCUCACUACGCAGCCUGCAAAAGGUCUUCUCAUCUAGAGGCUUGGUAAAGAUAUCAGCUAGCUGGUUCUCGGUGCUAACAUGAAACACUUCGAUAUCACCCUUUUGCUGGUGGUCUCUUAGAAAGUGAUGCCGGAUGUCAAUGUGCUUUGUGCGGCUGUGUUCAACAGGAUUUUCCGCCAUACGGAUUGCACUCUCAUUAUCACAUAGGAGUGGGACUUUGCUCAGAUUGUAGCCAAAGUCCCUGAGGGUUUGCCUCAUCCAAAGUAGUUGCGCGCAACACUGUCCUGCGGCAACAUACUCGGCCUCAGCGGUGGAUAGGGCAACGGAAGUUUGUUUCUUAGAGUUCCAUGACACCAGGGACCUUCCUAAGAAUUGGCACGUCCCCGAUGUACUCUUCCUAUCGACCUUACAUCCAGCAUAGUCGGAGUCUGAAUAUCCAAUCAAGUCAAAGGUAGACCCCUUUGGAUACCAGAGCCCGAAGCAAGGCGUAGCAACUAAAUAUCUAAGGAUUCGCUUCACUGCCACUAAGUGACACUCCUUAGGAUCGGAUUGAAAUCUAGCACACAUGCAUACGCUAAGCAUAAUAUCCGGUCUACUAGCACAUAAAUAAAGUAAAGACCCUAUCAUUGACCGGUAUGCUUUUUGAUCAACGGACUUACCUCCUUUGUUGAGGUCGGUGUGUCCGUCGGUCCCCAUCGGAGUCUUUGCGGGCUUGGCGUCCUUCAUCCCAAACGGCUUCAGCAAGUCUUGCGUGUACUUUGUUUGGGAGAUGAAGGUGCCGUCCUUGAGUUGCUUCACUUGGAACCCAAGGAAGUAGUUCAACUCGCCCAUCAUCGACAUCUCGAAUUUCUGCGUCAUCACCCUGCUAAACUCUUCACAAGACUUUUUAUUAGUAGAACCAAAUAUUAUGUCAUCGACAUAAAUUUGGCACACAAAAAGAUCACCGUCACAAGUCUUAGUGAAAAGGGUUGGAUCGGCUUUCCCAACUUUGAAAGCAUUAGCAAUUAAGAAGUCUCUAAGGCAUUCAUACCAUGCUCUUGGGGCUUGCUUAAGUCCAUAGAGCGCCUUAGAGAGCUUACACACAUGAUCGGGGUACCGUUCAUCCUCGAAGCCAGGGGGUUGCUCCACGUACACCUCCUCCUUUAUUGGCCCAUUGAGGAAAGCGCUCUUCACAUCCAUUUGGUACAACCUGAAAGAAUGGUGAGCGGCAUAUGCUAGCAAGAUACGAAUUGAUUCUAGCCUAGCCACAGGAGCAAACGUCUCCUCAAAGUCCAAACCUGCGACUUGGGCAUAACCUUUUGCCACAAGUCGAGCCUUGUUCCUCGUCACCACCCCGUGCUCGUCCUGUUUGUUGCGGAACACCCACUUGGUUCCCACAACAUUUUGCUUGGGACGAGGCACCAGUGUCCAAACUUCAUUGCGCUUGAAGUUGUUGAGCUCCUCCUGCAUGGCCAACACCCAAUCCGGAUCUAGCAAGGCCUCUUCUACCCUGAAAGGCUCAAUAGAAGAGACAAAGGAGUAAUGUUCACAAAAAUUAACUAAUCGAGACCGAGUAGUUACUCCCUUGCUAAUAUCACCCAGAAUUAGGUCGACGGGAUGAUCCCUUUGAAUCACCGCUCGAACUUGGGUUGGAGGUGCCGGUUGUGCUUCUUCCUCCAUCACGUGAUCAUCUUGUGUUCCCCCUUGAUCACACGCCUCCUUUUGAUGAACCUGUUCAUCGUCUUGAGUUGAGGGAUGCACCGUUGUUGAGGAAGAAGGUUGAUCUUGUUCAUCUUGUUCAUGUGGCCGCACUUCUCCAAUCGCCAUGGUUCGUAUAGCGGCCGUCGGAACAUCUUCUUCAUCUACAUCAUCACAAUCAACAACUUGCUCUCUUGGAGAGCCAUUAGUCUCAUCAAAUACAACGUCGCUAGAGACUUCAACCAAACCCGAUGAUUUGUUGAAGACUCUAUACGCCUUUGUAUUUGAGUCAUAACCUAACAAAAACCCUUCUACAGCUUUGGGAGCAAAUUUAGAAUUUCUACCCUUCUUCACUAGAAUGUAGCACCUGCUCCCAAAUACACGAAAGUAAGAUACAUUGGGUUUGUUACCGGUUAGUAGCUCAUACGAAGUCUUCUUGAGGAGGCGAUGAAGGUAGACCCUGUUGAUGGCGUGGCAAGCCGUGUUCACGGCUUCCGACCAAAAACGCUCGGGGGUCUUGAAUUCUCCAAGCAUCGUCCUCGCCAUAUCGAUUAGCGUCCUGUUCUUCCUCUCUACCACACCAUUUUGCUGUGGUGUGUAGGGAGCGGAGAACUCGUGCUUGAUCCCUUCCUCCUCAAGGUAUUCCUCCACUUGAAGGUUCUUGAACUCGGACCCGUUGUCGCUCCUUAUCUUCUUCACUUUGAGCUCAAACUCAUUUUGAGCUCUCCUGAGGAAGCGCUUGAGGGUCCCUUGGGUUUCAGACUUAUCCUGCAAAAAGAACACCCAAGUGAAGCGGGAAAAGUCAUCAACAAUAACUAAACCAUACUUACUUCCUCCUAUGCUCAGAUAGGCGACGGGUCCGAAGAGGUCCAUAUGUAGCAGCUCCAGAGGUCUUGAGGUGGUCAUCACAUUCUUGCUGUGAUGUGCUCCUCCCACUUGUUUACCUGCUUGACAAGCUGCACAAGGUCUAUCUUUUUCGAAUUGCACGUUAGUCAAACCUAUCACGUGUUCUCCCUUUAGAAGCUUGUGAAGGUUCUUCAUCCCCACAUGUGCUAAGCGGCGAUGCCACAGCCAGCCCAUGCUAGUCUUAUCUAUUAAGCAUGCAUCUAGACCGGCCUCUUCUUUUGCAAAAUCAACUAAAUAAAGUUUGCCGUCUAAUACACCCUUAAAGGCUAGUGAACCAUCAUUUCUUCUAAAGACAGCCACAUCUACAUUUGUAAAUAGACAGUUAUAUCCCAUAUUGCAUAAUUGACUAACCGAUAGCAAAUUAUAUCCAAGAGACUCUACUAAAAACACAUUAGAGAUAGAGUGCUCAUUAGAAAUUGCAAUUUUACCUAACCCUUUUACCUUGCCUUGAUUCCCAUCACCGAAUAUAAUUGAAUCUUGGGAAUCCUUACUCUUGACGUAGGAGGUGAACAUCUUCUUCUCCCCCGUCAUAUGGUUUGUGCAUCCGCUGUCGAUAAUCCAGCUUGAACCCCCGGAUGCAUAAACCUGCAAGGCAAAUUUAGGCUUGGGUCUUAGGUACCCAACUCAUGUUGGGUCCUACAAGGUUAGUGCAAAUAUCCUUAGGGACCCAAAUGCAAGUUUUGUCUCCCUUGCAUUUUGCCCCUAACUUCCUAGCAACUAUUUUCCUAUUCUUUCUACAAAUAGCAAAGGAAGCAUUUAAAGCAUAAUAAACUGCAGAAGGUUCAUUCACUACUUUCCUAGGAAUAUUAACAACAUUUCUCCUAGGCAUAUUAUGAACAGCAUUUCUCCUACCAACAUUUCUAUCAUGCACAUAAGAAGAACUAGAAGCAACCAUGUUAUGAGAAUCAAAAGCAUCAUAUGCGUUACAUCUCCUAUAAGCAUUUCUAGAUUGUCUCCUAUCAUGGUACAUAAAGGCAUGGUUCUUUUGCACACUACUAGCCAUAGGGGCCUUCCCUUUCUCCUUGGCGGAGAUGGGAGCCUUAUGGCUUGUCAAGUUCUUGGCUUCCUUCUUGUAGCCAAGUCCAUCCUUAAUUGAGGGGUGUCUACCAAUUGUGUAGGCAUCCCUUGCAAAUUUUAGCUUAUCAAAAUUACUCUUGCUAGUCUUAAGUUGAGCAUUAAGACUAGCCAAUUCAUCAUUAAGUUUGGAAAUUGAAACUAGGUGUUCACUACAAGCAUCAAUGUCAAAAUCUUUACACCUCUUGCAAGUUUCAACAAUUUCUACACAAGAUGUUGAUUUAUUAGCUAUUUCUAACUUAGCAUUCAAAUCAUCAUUAACACUUUUUAAUUUAGAGAUGGACUCAUGACAAGUAGAUAAUUCACUAGAGAGCAUUUCAUUCCUUUUAAUUUCUAGAGCAAGAGAAUUUUGUGCACUAACAAAUUUAUCAUGCUCCUCAUAUAAAAGAUCCUCUUGUUUUUCUAGUAAUCUAUUCUUGUCAUUCAAAGCAUCAAUCAACUCAUUAAUCUUAUUAAUUUUAGAUCUAUCUAAUCCCUUGAAUAAGCAUGAGUAAUCUAUCUCAUCAUCAUCACUAGACUCAUCCUCACUUGAAGAAGCAUAAGUACUAGUAUCAUGAGUGCUUACUUUCUUCUCCCUUGCCAUGAGGCAAGUGUGACGCUCGUUGGGGAAGAGGGAUGACUUGUUGAAGGCGGUGGCGGCGAGUCCUUCAUUGUCGGAGUCGGAGGAGGAGCAAUCCGAAUCCCACUCCUUUCCGAUAUGUGCCUCGCCCUUGGCCUUCUUGUAAUGCUUCUUCUUCUCCCUUUUGUUCCCCUUUUCCUGGUCACUUUCAUUAUCGGGACAGUUAGCAAUGAAAUGACCAAUCUUACCACAUUUGAAGCACGAGCGCUUCUCCUUUGUUUUGAUCUUGCUUGGCUGUCCCUUGUGACCUUUAAGCGCCGUCUUGAAGCGCUUGAUGAUGAGAGCCAUUUCUUCAUCAUUAAGCCCGGCCGCUUCAAUUUGAGCCACCUUGCUCGGUAGUGUCUCCUUGCUUCUCGUUGCCUUGAGAGCAAUGGGUUGAGGCUCGUGGAUUGGACCGUUCAACGCGUCAUCGACGUAUCUCGCCUCCUUGAUCAUCAUCCGCCCGCUUAUGAAUUUUCCGAGUACCUCCUCGGGCGUCAUCGUCGUGUACUUGGGAUUCUCACGAAUAUUGUUUACGAGAUGAGGAUCAAGAACGGUAAAGGACCUUAGCAUUAGGCGGACGACGUCGUGGUCCGUCCAUCGCGUGCUUCCAUAGCUCCUUAUCUUGUUGACAAGGGUCUUGAGCCGGUUGUAUGUUUGGGUUGGCUCCUCCCCCCUUAUCAUAGCGAAUCUCCCAAGUUCGCCCUCCACCAACUCCAUCUUGGUGAGCAUGGUGACGUCGUUGCCCUCGUGAGAGAUCUUGAGGGUGUCCCAUAUCUGCUUGGCAUUGUCCAAGCCGCUCACCUUAUUGUACUCUUCCCUGCACAAAGAUGCUAAGAGAACAGUAGUAGCUUGUGCAUUUCUAUGGAUUUGUUCAUUUAUAAGCAUAGGGCUAUCUGAGCUAUCAAAUUUCAUUCCAUUCUCUACAAUCUCCCAUAUGCUUGGAUGGAGAGAGAAUAAGUGACUACGCAUUUUGUGACUCCAAAAUCCGUAGUCCUCCCCAUCGAAGUGUGGAGGUUUGCCAAGAGGAAUUGAAAGCAAAUGCGAAUUCGAACUAUGUGGAAUACGGGAAUAAUCAAAUGAAAAGUUCGAAUUGACCGUCUUCCUGUAGUCGUUGUCGUCGUCCUUUUGGGAAGAGGAAGAUUCGUCGCUGUCGUAGUAGACGAUCUCCUUGAUGCGCCUUGUCUUCUUCUUCUUCCCAUCUUUUCGUCUGUGGCCCGAGCCCGAGUCGUUGGACUUGUCAUCCUUUGGCUCGUUGAUGAAGGACUCCUUCUCCUUGUCGUUGAUCAUGAUUCCCUUCCCCUUAGGAUCCAUCUCUUCGGGUGGUUAGUCCCUUUCUUGAAGAGAAUGUGCUCUGAUACCAAUUGAGAGCACCUAGAGGGGGGGGGGGGUGAAUAGGUGAUCCUGUAAAACUUUAAACUUAUAGCCACAAAAACUUGGUUAAUCGUUAGCACAAUAAUUGCCAAGUGGCUAGAGAGGAGCCAAAACACAAUAACCACAAGAAAUCAAUCACAGAGAUGACAUGGUGGUUAUCCCGUGGUUCGGCCAAGUACAAAACUUGCCUACUCCACGUUGUGGCGUCCCAACGGACGAGAGUUGCACUCAACUCCUCUCAAGUGAUCCAAUGAUCAACUUGAAUACCACGGUGUUCUUCUUUACUUUGAUCUUUUCCCGUUUGCGAGGAAUCUCCACAACUUGGAGUCUCUCGCCCUUACAAUUGAAUUUCACAAAGAAGUACGGAGUAAGGGAGGGAAGCAACACACACAAAUCCACAGCAAAAUGCGCACACACACGGCCAAGAAUUGAGCUCAAAAGACUAUCUCAAAGUUCUCACUAGAACGGAGCUCGAAUCACUGAGAAUGACAAACGAAUGCGCAAAGACUGAGUGUGGAUGAUCAAGAAUGCUCUUAGGUUGCUUGGUUAUCUCCUCCAUGCGCCUAGGGGUCCCUUUUAUAGCCCCAAGGCAGCUAGGAGCCGUUGAGAGCAAUCAGGGAAGGCAAAUCUUGCCUUCUGUCGCGUGGCGCACCGGACAGUCCGGUGCACACCGGACACUGUCCGGUGCCCGAUUCCCUUCCUUAAUUGGCGAAGCCCACCGUUGGCUGGCUCGGAGCCGUUGGCGCACCGGACAUGUCCGGUGCACACCGGACAGUCCGGUGCCCCCUUCUAGCCGUUGGCUCGGCCACGUGUCCCGCGCAGAUUGCGCGACCGACCGUUGGCCCGGCCGACCGUUGGCUCACUGGACAGUCCGGUGCACACCGGACAGUCCGGUGAAUUUUAGCCGUACGCCGUCGGCAAAUUCCCGAGAGCGGGCACUUCACGCCGAGUCAGCCUGGCGCACCGGACACUGUCCGGUGCACCACCGGACAGUCCGGUGUGCCAGACUGAGCUGAGUCUUGGCUGUACACAGCCAAGUCUUUUUCACCUCUUUUCUUUUCUUCUUCUUUCUGUUUCUAACACUUAGACAAGUAUAUUAGUACACAAAACCAAUGUACUAAGGCUUAGAAACAUACCUUUACUCUUGAUUUGCACUUUGUCCAUGCAUGAGCAUAAAUUCACAUUUAAGCACUUGUGUUGGCACUCAAUCACCAAAAUACUUAGAAAUGGCUUAAGAGCACAUUUCCCUUUCAGAACUCCGCUCCGCCCAACCCAGGGCUCGGACUCGGGCUAAGCCCCGGAAGACGGCGAACUCCGCUCCGCCCGACCCAGGGCUCGGACUCGGGCUAAGCCCCGGAAGACGACGAACUCCGCUCCGCCCAACCCAGGGCUCGGACUCGGGCUAAGCCCCAGAAGACGGCGAACUCCGCUCCGCCCGACCCAGGGCUCGGACUCGGGCUAAGUCCCGGAAGACGACGAACUCCGCUCCGCCCGACCCCCGGGGCUCGGACUCCGCCCCGGCCUCAGCCGUCGGUCACCGCCUCGCCCGACCCAGGGGCUCGGACUCGACCUCGGCCAUGGAAGACAGACUCGACCUUGGCUUCGGAGGAGCUUACACAUCACCCAAUCUAGGGCGCAGACCAGCCACGUCAACAGGAGGCGCCAUCAUCACCCUACCCCGAGCUGACUCGGGCCACGGGAACAAGACCGGCGUCCCAUCUGGCUCGCUCCGCCAGAUAGGCAAUGAUGGCGCCCCGCAUACUCUGUGAUGACGGCAGCUCUUAGCGCCCUUACGGAAGCAAGAGGACAUCAGCAAAGACUCAACAGCUCCGACAGCUGUCCCUCCGCUAGGCUCCGGCACUCCUCCGACGGCCACGACAUCACACCAGCUGGGUGCCAAAAUCUCUCCGGCUGCCACAAUGGCAUGCACUUAGGGCGCUAGCUCUCCUCCGCUAGACACGUAGCACUCUGCUACACCCCCAUUGUACACCUGGAUCCUCUCCUUACGCCUAUAAAAGGAAGGACCAGGGCCCUCUUAGAGAAGGUUGGCCGCGCGGGGACGAGGAUGAGACAGGCGCUCGCUUGAAGCCGCUCUCUCCCUCUCCCGCGUGGACGCUUGUAACCCCCUACUGCAAGCGCACCCGACCUGGGCGCGGGACGAACACGAAGGCCGCGGGAUUCCCACCUCUCUCACGUCGGUCUCCGGCCACCUCACUUCCCCCUUCGCGCUCGGCCUCGCGUCGACCCAUCUGGGCUAGGGCACGCGGCGACAUUCACUCGUCGGCUAGGGACCCCCCGGUCUCGAUACGCCGACAACAGGUGUCAGUUUCAGGAACACAUACAGCUCCAAUAGAAAUGCUAGAAGAACACUGAAGCAAAUCAAAUGGCAGGAAAAUCUGAAAACCUGUUUCUGGUCAUCUAAUCUUCCCUCAUUUUGAUUUUUCUCUUCUAGUUUAGCUGUUCCACGAUCAUCUUUUGAUUUUUUCCCUUUUUUUACAGAAUAUGGCAGGUCAUCCACUGAAGUCGUCUCAGACUUCGAGAUCAUGUGUUCUUUAUCAGCCUCUUGUGAAUCAUCACCUGGCUCAGCUGGAUCCUCAUCGCUCUCCUCAGAUUCGCUACCCAUUCCCUCCUCGGUUUCAGUAUCAUCAUCAUACUCCAUCUCAUCUUUCUCUUGCCGUUUCAUCUUUUCUGCAUCAGUUCCCAAGUCAACAUCAUUAUCAUUUUGAUCAUCAUCAUCACUUGUACCAGUGUCUCCUCCAUCAGCAUGUCUACUUUGAGAUUCUUCAUCACCAUUUAAUAAUGAGCCCUCUGUAUCUUCUAUCUUAACAACACGGAUUUCAUUUAUUUUGUAUAGCAGAUCUAGAUGCUUUUCAAUUGCAUGUUCCAUUGCCUCAACAAAAACUGUUCUCAAGAUUGCCUGACACUCAUCUACAGUAAGACCUGACUCAAGCUGGUCUUGUGGAUAGAGUUUCAUCUGUAACUUGUACAGGGUUGAAACACACCCAUUAGAGUUGUAAAAAGGAACUGUGCAGACUUCAAUUUUCUCCACUAUAUCAGCCACACGAACCCUCCUA